rnacentral:rRNA from 1 species
CAGCGCCGCGGGAAUACGGAGGGUGCAAGCGUUAAUCGGAAUUACUGGGCGUAAAGCGCACGCAGGCGGUCUGUCAAGUCGGAUGUGAAAUCCCCGGGCUCAACCUGGGAACUGCAUUCGAAACUGGCAGGCUAGAGUCUUGUAGAGGGGGGUAGAAUUCCAGGUGUAGCGGUGAAAUGCGUAGAGAUCUGGAGGAAUACCGGUGGCGAAGGCGGCCCCCUGGACAAAGACUGACGCUCAGGUGCGAAAGCGUGGGGAGCAAACAGGAUUAGAGACCCCUGUAGUCCCUGUCUCUUAUACC